UCUUCUCCCACAUUUCUAUUCCCCUACUCGGGCUUUUCAUAUCUGAACAAAAUCUCCAUUUGCUAAGUGGCCUUGUACUUUGUAGUUUGUACCCCUACAUAUCUUCUCUUUUCCUUACUCAGCUUAGAAAAAGGAGAAACUUCUCUCUCUCUCCCUCCCUCUCUCUCUCUCUCCCUCCUUUGAUUGAAAUGUCUCACAAUCUCUCCAAACAACCACCCACACAAACACCACCACCAUCAACAGUGCUUACCAUUGCAACAAUACCCCAAAAAGAGGAUUCAGACACCAACAACAGCAACAACAACAACAAUAUCUACCCUUUGCCACUCGCUACAUAUGAGGAAGUUGUUGCAAGUGCUGAUUUUUUCAUGCAAACGCUUGAGAAGCUGCACAAAUCCAUUGGAACCAAGUUCAUGGUGCCGACUUUAGGAGGAAAGGCACUCGACCUGCAUCGCCUUUUUGUGGAAGUGACAUCUCAUGGUGGUCUUGAAAAGGUUAUUAGAGAUCGGAAAUGGAGGGAAGUAAUUUCAGUCUUCAGCUUCCCAUCUACGAUUACGAAUGCAUCCUUUGUAUUGCGAAAGUACUACAUUUCCUUGCUCCAGCACUACGAGCAACUCUAUUUCUUCCGGAAACAAGGCCAGCCGAUCUCGAUGAAUGCUUCUUUGCCAGGCACGAACACCGUCAGUGCUACUGCAAAUUUACAAGCCCAACCAGCAACACCGUCCACUCAGGAGAAAGUCACAGCAACACCAUCAACUCAGGAGAAAGUACCAGCCACACCGUCAACCCUGGAGAAAGUACCAGCGACACCAUUAACUCAGGAGAUCGUCGCUGCUGAAAACCAAUCAGGUCCAGCAAGUGCCCCACUGUCACCUGGCUGUUCAGUGAUUGGAACCAUCGAUGGGAAAUUCGAUAACGGAUACUUGGUGACUGUGAGUCUUGGUUCGGAAAAGCUGAAAGGUGUCCUUUACCACGUUCCUCUUGAAAUGCCGCCAGCGUCCCGGAGUUCAACUGGAGCUGCCGCUCGCCGCCGUAAUCGGAAGAGAUCUAGGCGGGCAAUGAAUGAGCCGUCUCGUCCCAAACCGAACAGGAGUGGUUACAACUUCUUCUUCCAAGAGCAUUGCGCGAAGCUUUUGCAUAGUGGGGAGGAGAGUGUUAUCAGCAAGAAGAUUGGGUAUAUGUGGAGCAAACUCUCUGAGGCUGAAAAGGAGGUUUAUCAGCAGAAAGGAAUGAAAGACAAGGAAAGAUACCGGAACGAGAUGCUAGAAUACAAGAAGUCGUCAACUACUUCCAUGCCCCAAUAGCUUUUCAACGGAAACAUGAGUGGGGUCUCGCAUGCUAACACGUGCCAAUGUAGCACGUGUGCAAGAUCCAAGCCACUCAUCAGACGGGCCCUACUGUGUAGACGGUUUUGCUCGAAAGACAGGCUGGUCCAGUCAUUUGGUGAUGCUGACCACUAGUUUUCUAAACUAAUUUUCUUUUGUACUCACUUGACUACCUCUCGAGCAGAAUCGGCUUAUUUUUGGGCCAGGGGUUCCACACAGUGGGGCCUGCCUGAUGAGGGGCUUAGAUCUUACUCACGUGUCAUGUUGGCAUGUGGGAGCUGCGUGGCCCCAGUGGCGGGGCUGUAGCUUCCAUGGUUUUGCAGGUACCUCUUGUUUGGCCUCCUGAUCCAGCCUGUGAAUCCAGUGCAAAGGAAUGCCCAAGAGCUUGCCCAAUCACAAUCAUACCCAUUCAUCUUUUAAUGCUAUCGGCCACUUAGGACACAAGCUGUAGUUGAUUUUUUUGAGAAACAAGGCCUUAUCAGCUGUGCAUUUUGCAAAUGAGGAUAAUGGUUCUGGGCUUACAUUUCUAUCAACUACAAGAAAGAUUUCAGAUACUCAUACAGCCCACUGAAAUUUGCAAAGCAUUUCUUGAAUCAGAUGGCGUUAUCAGAAGGUGAUGAAUGCAAUUGUGAUUGUACAGUUAUCAGGUGUUUCUCCACAUGGAAAUCUGUUCUUAUCAUGUGAAUCUUGAAGUUGCUGGGGCCAAGAUGCACCUUUACACGCGGCAAGCAUGCGGGACAGCUGAACCAUUAAAUGAUUUGGCCUUCAUCAUGAAGAUGACCAUAUGCAAAAAUCAGGUGGGCCAACAUGUUCGUUGAAUGUAGACAGUUUGGAAGUUUUUUCUUUUUGACUGUCCAUUCUUUUCGUGUGGCGGUGGCCUGCCUGAUAAGUGGAACUGUCUGUUUUUGCAUAUGGCCAUCUUCACAAUGUGGGCCAUCUCAUUAAUUGCUCAGCUGCCCUACAUGCUUGCCAGGUUGACACAUGUGGGGUUACCAGACCGAAUUUGUGAUCUUAACAAGGCGGGAAUCCAGACC